UGUACGCAACUUGCCGUAGAAGAAGAGGAAGAACGGCAAUAAAACGACGAGGAAGAGUUUAAAUGGCGUUGUUGCCCAUCAAAAAAAAAUGCCGACGUUAUGCUGCAGGUGACAGCUAGAAGAAAUCUGGAUCCAGGAUGGAUGUAUGUCAGCUCCAGUAUUUACUACGUCACUACUGAGUAGUCGAGUUGGACUGAGAGCAGACGGGACUGCAGAGAGAGGAGCAGACCUGGUGAUCAUAAACAGCAUAGAGGAACAGCAGAAAAGCUUGUAUUGGACUGAAUGACCGAAACAGAGAGGGUGAGUGGAAGUGGGUGGACGGUACACAGCAGUAGGGCUCUGUCCUGAAGUUCCAUAGUAAACCACUUGUGGCUCAGGAUUUCCUCAAAAGUUGGCUGAUUAUGAGGGUUUUUCAGGCACCAUGAUAUCAGAUGGCAGCACUCUGUGUUGGUAGUUAUGAGACAGGAAACGGACUUUGAACACUUCUCAAUUAUACAAUCUGAGCUGGGAAAGCAAAUGUCUCCACAGAUCAAUCAAGAGUACAGCCAAACUCCAGAAAAUUUCCGGAGGUCCAUGCAGGGGACGGAUCGCUCCAGCACCAAGACGAAAGAAGUGCACAUGUCGAUCCAUUCCAACAGCUCCACCACAUUCACACAGGGAGAUCUAGAUCAACACUCUUCCUCCGAUAUCUAUUAUGAACAAUCGGUAGUAAAAUCUAGGAACAAGUAAAUGGAUGCAUCAUUUUUGGUCUAGAUCUGCUCUAUAAUGUGAUUGUGAUUUACACCUUACUGCUUCUCUACAGAAUCUCUGAAGUAAAGGAAGUUUACAUACGAAUGAGUCUUCAGCCAUUUUGAGCACCUAUUUCAUGGCAACCUGUUCACAUGGACAAAACAGAAUGAGUCAUUUCAACAAUCCUUCAUUGUACUAAUUAGUAUAAGUACUAUAAUUAUGUUUAUAAUAAUAUUUAUUAUAUUUAUAUUAUAAUUAGUGCAAUUCACAGCCCUUACAUUUUAGGUAUCAGCAAAUGGAAACUUUCCUGUGCAUUAUAAAUUCAUUAAUCCACAAUCCUACAUUGGGUGAAUUAUUGUACAUGUGGAUUCUACAUCCUUGGUGUGUGCUGUUGUUGUUAAAUUACAAGUCAAACAAAUUAGUAUUUAAAUCCUGUAAAAUCCUGUAGUAUUUGGACUUUAAAAAAAAUAAUAAAAAAAUUCUACUGUUAAUUCUUCAUUUAUACUGUUAUUACUUCUUUUGUUCUGUCGGUUGCGACAGAAUGUGCUGUGACCUUUUUAAUUUUCACCUGUAACAGCAUUUUGUAUGGAAAUGCAAGGGUUUGGUUUGAGCACUACAAUUUUCUGAUGAUCAUUUUUAUGAACAUACAAUGGACCUCAUUUAUUUUGGCUGUAUUUUCCCACUCGCUGUUGCAUUCAAAUCAGUUCAUAUCAGUGAUUCAUGCACUGUCGCAAUCAUUAGUGAAUGAAACCUUCAGAAUACAGACAUGGGUGAAGAUAAUGAAUCUGUUUGUAUCUCAGAGAAGUGUGUCAUUGCUUUACAAUUCCUAUACUGAGCUGAUUAGUGCUAAUGAACUGUACAUGUGUAGACUUAUCACCUGUAACCCAUCUGCCUUAUGCACGCCUGUGUAGACAGUGCCUAAGCUUCCUUUCCCCACCAGCUCUCCCACAGUGUAGCGGGAAUCUUAACUCCUCUGUUGCGCACACACACACAUGCAAAAUCCUUCAAUUCAAUAGAAAUAAGACUGAAA